GAAUGGAUAUAAAUAUUUUGCAUCACACAGAACCCGAACCCUAGCCGCCAGUGCCCCCCCUCCCCCUCAACUGGAGAAGAAGGACCAGACACCGGCGAAGGAAGUUGACCGCCAACCGUCGCCGCACCGAAGCCACCUCCGACUACAAAAAAAGUAACAUUCUUCUACCUGCUCGGAAUUUGAUUCUGAGCACUCCUGUGGCCAUAUCAGAGCAAAAUAAAUGGCGGGUGAGCCAAAAACUACGGUCAAAGCCUGGUGGGAUCGUCACGGCCCAAAACCCGCAACCUCCUCCGAU
rnacentral:lncRNA from 1 species